rnacentral:rRNA from 1 species
UACGUAGGAGACGAGCGUUGUCCGGAGUUACUGGGCGUAAAGGGUGCGCAGGUGGCGGCGCGCGUGGGGGGUGAAAUCGCCCGGCUUAACUGGGCGGGGGCCUUCCAGACGGCGUGGCUUGGACGAGCGGAGGGGGACGUGGAAUUCCGGGUGGAGCGGUGAAAUGCGUAGAGAUCCGGAGGAACACCGACGGCGCGAGGCAGCCGUGCC